GACUUGUAUGACAACUAUGCUCCUUCACGUGCAUUUAUCUAUUUCUAGAAUUUACUUCACUUUCAGUGCCCAACUUUACUCCUCAAUCUUCAUAUUCCUCUUCCUCUCCCUAUAGUGCAUAGGGAGAAGGUGAACCACCCAUGGAACCUCCUCCGUCACAAUCCUUUCAAGUUUCUGGGGAUGAUACACAAGACAAAGUCAUCAACGAGUGUUGUUCUUGCUGCUACGACUGUUUUCAGGGUCUCUUCGAUUUCUUGUGCUGUAACUUUUGUUAAAACUCUUGGAUUAGGGUUAUUUCAUGGGGACAUGGGGUAUCAACAUGUUCCUUUUCUCUCCCCCUUUAUCAGAUGAUUUUGAUGUAUGAUCUGAAUUAACUAAGGAAAAACUGUGCUUUUUAAUCAUAGACUGAUGCAACAUUCCCCCUUUUUGUGUC